GCGGCGCCCCUCGCGGCCACCGCCUCCCCGAGACGCUCUCGCUGGUCCGCGCCCUCUCCAACCCCCGCCCUUCUCCUUAACUCCGGAGUGUGGGCUCCGGUGGGUUCAGAGGGGAAGCGAGAGGAAGCAGCACCGAGAUCCGCGUGACUCCCUAGAUCCCACGCAGCUGGGAGGCCUGAGCCAGCCGGACCGAGAUAGCUCCGCGCCUGCAAGGGGUCGGAGCAAAACACUUGCACGUCGGAAAAGUUCGAGUCCCUAGGAUGAUUAGCAGAGACGUGGAAAAGUCGAGAGGAGUACUGACAAGUUUAAGGGAGGAGUGCUUUACAGUUCGGUGUUUUCCCAAGUAGCCUCUGGGAGCAUAUCCAGAUGCACCCAGUUUGUGAGGACGAAGUCUUGUGACCAGAACUCGAGGACCAGAGUAGACCUUGGCAGACUUAGGACGACCCACGCAGCAAAGAUUCGGAGUAGAGUUUAAAAGAGUUUGCACUAACCUCGCCCCGAGCGCCCCCCUUUCCCCGCGGUAAACGCUACCGUCGGAGUAGUGGGUGGGCGUUGUGGCGGAGAGUUGGCCCUAAUCCUGCUGCCCGACGGAGAGAUGAAGAGAGUCUUUGGGGGCUUUAAUCUGAAAUUCACCUAAAAUGUUUGAUAAAUAAUGUGAGUUGAGAUUGGUAUUUUGUUUUGUCUUCUUGUUCUUUAAAAAAAAAGUCA
rnacentral:lncRNA from 1 species